rnacentral:lncRNA from 1 species
UUCCAGAACUCUAUCGGGAUUUCGUCAGGCCCGGUCGCUCGACCCCUACUCAUCCUACGCAGAGCCCCCACGACCUCCUCCGCCCUAAUGCGCCUGCAGUACCCAAGGUCUCUAUGUUGCUCUGAAUUCCCCAACUCCCCUUGCUCUAUGUUACGAUCCCCCACAUCGUUAAGUAAGUUUCGAAGUAUGCCUGCCACCUCUACAUAACUUGAGACUCCCCCAUCAGAACUCUUCC